AGUGAACGCUGGCGGUAGGCCUAACACAUGCAAGUCGAACGGCAGCACAGUAAGAGCUUGCUCUUACGGGUGGCGAGUGGCGGACGGGUGAGGAAUACAUCGGAAUCUACUUUUUCGUGGGGGAUAACGUAGGGAAACUUACGCUAAUACCGCAUACGACCUACGGGUGAAAGCAGGGGAUCUUCGGACCUUGCGCGAUUGAAUGAGCCGAUGUCGGAUUAGCUAGUUGGCGGGGUAAAGGCCCACCAAGGCGACGAUCCGUAGCUGGUCUGAGAGGAUGAUCAGCCAAACUGGAACUGAGACACGGUACAGAGUCCUACGGGAGGAAGCAGUGGGGAAUAUUGGACAAUGGGGGCAAGCCGGAUCCAGCCAGACCGCGUGGGUGAAGAAGGCCGUCGGGUUGUAAAGCCCUUUUGUUGGGAAAGAAAAGCAGCAGGUUAAUACCCCGCUGUUCUGACGGUACCCAAAGAAUAAGCACCGGCUAACUUCGUG
rnacentral:rRNA from 1 species